GUGCCCAUGGUGGCUUGGACGGGAGGAACCACCGCGGAGCCGGGGACAGGGGGAGCAGGGCAGUGCUCUGCUGGGUGAGGGGCACCCAGCUCCAGAGGCUAGCGCUGGCCGGCGAGGACUGCCUGUGGUACCUGGACCGGAAUGGCUCCUGGCAUCCGGGGUUUAACUGCGAGUUCUUCACCUUCUGCUGCGGGACCUGCUACCAUCGGUACUGCUGCAGGGACCUGACCUUGCUCAUCACCGAGAGGCAGCAGAAGCACUGCCUGGCCUUCAGUCCCAAGACCAUAGCAGGCAUCGCCUCAGCUGUGAUCCUCUUUGUUGCUGUGGUUGCCACCACCAUCUGCUGCUUCCUCUGUUCCUGUUGCUACCUGUACCGCCGGCGCCAGCGGCUCCAGAGCCCAUUUGAAGGCCAGGAGAUUCCAAUGACAGGCAUCCCAGUGCAGCCAGUAUACCCAUACCCCCAGGACCCCAAAGCUGGCCCUGCACCCCCACAGCCUGGCUUCAUGUACCCACCUACUGGUCCUGCUCCCCAAUAUCCACUCUACCCAGCUGGGCCCCCAGUCUACAACCCUGCAGCUCCUCCUCCCUAUAUGCCACCACAGCCCUCUUACCCGGGAGCCUGAGGAACCAGCCAUGUCUCUGCUGCCCCUUCAGCGAUGCCAACCUUGGGAGAUGCCCUCAUCCUGUACCUGCAUCUGGUCCUGGGGGUGGCAGGAGUCCUCCAGCCACCAGGCCCCAGACCAAGCCAAGCCCUGGGCCCUACUGGGGACAGAGCCCCAGGGAAAUGGAACAGGAGCUGAACUAGAACUAUGAGGGGUUGGGGGAGGACUUGGAAUUAUGGGCUAUUUUUACUGGGGCAAGGGAGGGAGAUGACUGCCUGGGUCACAGUGCCUGUUUUCAAAUAGUCCCUCU
rnacentral:sRNA from 1 species